rnacentral:rRNA from 1 species
UACGUAGGGGGCUAGCGUUGUCCGGAUUUAUUGGGCGUAAAGAGCGUGUAGGCGGUCAGGUAGGUCUGCUGUGAAAACUCGAGGCUCAACCUCGAGACGUCGGCGGAAACCAUCUGGCUAGAGUCCGGAAGAGGAGAGUGGAAUUCCUGGUGUAGCGGUGAAGUGCGCAGAUAUCAGGAAGAACACCCGUGGCGAAGGCGGGUCUCUGGGCCGAUACUGACGCUGAGGAGCGAAAGCGUGGGGAGCGAACAGG